CAGAAAGCUGGGCUUGCUGAUAAAAUGAGCAGAAAUGCGCGAAGCCGACCCACUUGCAGGCAUAAAGAGGUCCUGGUCAAGAAAGUAGGCACUGGGAAAAUGAGGGAGAAGAUAAAGGGCAGAAGCUGAGUCCUUCUUCCUAUCAUGGGUGUGAUUCCUCUGGAAAGACUGAAGUAACAAGCCAUGACCAUCUUUCCUCACAAGAUUCUGCACCGGGAAACUAAGAACAUCACUGUGUCAGAGAGUAGAACAGAGACUCACCAUGCU